GCCUACGUGGUAUAGUGGUUAACGCUGCUGUCUACCAAAUUUAGGGCGUGGGUUCGAUUCCCAAUGGCGUCA